GGCGUAGACCAGCUGGUUGAAGACCUCCAGGUGCUUGUACUCCUUGAAGCAGCAGAGACAUUGUCUGGAGACACAAACAGAAACGACGACAGUCAACAUGAAGCUAUAAGCGAAGUUUUAUCUGUCACGUGCCGAGGUUCAGUGGACAGCGAUCCCAGGAGGAGGUGAACUGAGGGUCAGACUCGGCAGCAGGGAAAACGAACACUGACUACAAAACUGUUAUGACAAAUAUUGCAUAUGGCGGGAAAUAUAUCGAUCAAUAUUAUUGAAUAUUGACCGAGUCAAAGUACAGGAUGAGUCGCUGCCAAUCUGCUCGUAUGUUCUACACUCAUUCACAAACGUGGAGCAGCAGACGCAGCCUAAGAUCUGCCUGCUGGCAGUUUGGACGGAUGAGUCAGCAGCUUCUGGGUGUUUGUGUCAGCGACUUCACGUCUCCUUAAAACUCUGAAUAUAAAAGAAAAAAGAAAAACAAACACUCCAGCUGGAGGAAGAAAAACAAACACCAAACUAAAAGGAGCGCCAUCAUUACUCAGAACAUUCAUAUUGUGUGACGGCCUCGACCGAGGAAAUAAA